rnacentral:sRNA from 1 species
CUAGGAGCUUUGCCAAAAGGAUUGAACCACACCAGGGUCGCAGAGAGCCAUGUCAUGGAACCAUGGGUAACUCCACCAGAAGAUAUUGUCAUGGAUACUAGUAUAUGAGCUUAAUAGCAAAAUGAUGCAGGUGGAAGGUUGCUUCAUUGUACUCCGUAACUCCGAUCUAACGGGGUCAGCACUGCUUCCUUGGAAAGGUUAAAUAGGUGUGGGUCACGCGGCCUUCCAGCAAGGGAUAGGGAUGCUAACAAAAGAAAAAAAAAAAAGGAAAAGAGAAGAAAAAAAAGUGCCCUAGACGCAGUGCUUCAGUGAACAUUGUGGAAUGGUUCAAAGGCGCAUGCCGGUUUCAGUGGGGGUAAAAUAUUUGAGCCAGUUGUAAGAGAUGAGAUACAAUUCUACAAGAACUUGAAUUAAUUGCUAGUUAAUGCUAGUAUAUUAGCAAGUGUUCUACCACCACUGAAUACAUAUAACAAGAAUGAACUAGGUAAGAAGCACGAAAAACAAAUUGAAAAGAGAGAGAGAGAGGG